GACUCAAUGACGAUGCCUUGCUGUUAAAUUUUUGACUCUGUGAUUCCCCUACUGUACAGAUGGCUCGGUGGCGCAGUCUCUGUGGAUGUGUAAAAUAGCAAGACCAGCAUUAGCAGGGACUGUUAGCCAGGCAGCAAAAUUUGUGCUCAGUGCUCAGAUUUGCGAACAUUCUGGUUUCAAAAUUCCGAAGCCCUGGCCAAUGAGGAGUCAGGACAUCUGAAUUAUCUCUGGACAGAAUUUGGGCUCCAUUGUCUCAGGAGUGUUUAUUUUGGGAAAGGCACGGCUGGGGUGGCAUCCGACUGGAGGACCCUGUGACGCUACGUUCCCCACUGCAGUGGAGUUGCUCUUCCUUCACAAACAGCGGCAAAGCAUUUCCAAACAAUGGCUGUUUAAAAGCCAUUUUUACUGUUCACUGUGGUCUUUACAUAACCUGACUGACCCCUGCUCAGUUUAGCCUGUUUUUUUUUUUUUGUCUAACCUUCAUGUGAAGAGUGCUGUGAGAAAUAAAACCGAAUUGAACUGGAUUAAAGUCCAGUGAUUUUCUCGCCCUGUGCAUAUAAGUUCCAGUCAUGUGUGUUGGAAUGAACCUCAGUGCCUGGAGCAGAAUAAGAUCAGAUCUC